rnacentral:pre_miRNA from 1 species
AUAAUACUCCCUCCGUUACGAAUUACUUGUCGCAAGUAUGGAUGUAUCUAGAUGUAUUUUAGUUCUAGAUACAUCCAUUUCUGCGACGAGUAAUUUGGAACGGAGGGAGUACAUU